UACGUAGGGGGGCGAGCGUUGUCCGGAUUUACUGGGCGUAAAGCGCGUGUAGGCGGGACGGCACGUCGGUCGCUGAAAUCCCCCGGCUCAACCGGGGAACGGGCGCCGAUACGACCGCCCUGGAGGGACGUAGGGGGACCUGGAACUUCCGGUGGAGCGGUGAAAUGCGUAGAUAUCAGGAGGAACACCAAUGGCGAAGGCAGCUCGCUGGGACGGUACUGACGCUGAGGCGCGAAAGCGUGGGGAGCAAACAGG
rnacentral:rRNA from 1 species